rnacentral:snRNA from 1 species
CUGUUCUAUCAAACAUCUUAAC